UUGGAACAAAAGCUGCACACCUCCUGCAUAAUUUAGAAGUUCUGAAAUUGAUGUGCUAUCACGAGGAUGAGGAGUCAGAUAUAUUGUCCAGUGGAUUAUUUGAAGAGAUACCCACCAUACAAAAUCUUGAAGUGGUCUGCAGUUCCUUCACUGAAAUAUUCUCCUCUCAAAGACCUAGAUCUGAUUGUACCAAAGUACUUUCAAAGCUGAAAAGAUUGCAUUUGAAGAGUCUCCAAAAGUUGAUUUCCAUAGGAUUAGAGCAGUCAUGGGUAGAACCCUUACUUAAAACACUAGAAACAUUGGAAGUGUUUUGCUGCCCUAUGCUCAAAAGUGUUGCGCCAGCCACAGUGUGUUUUUCAAAUCUUACAUCUUUGAACGUUGCUGAAUGUGAUGGAUUGCUGUAUUUGUUCACAUCCUCAACAGCCAAAAGUCUAAAUCAACUGAGGGACAUGUCCGUGCGGGAUUGCCAAGCAAUACAGAAAAUAGUGUGGAAUGAUGAGGAAGAUAACGAAUCCAGUGAUGAAGAGAUAAUAACAUUUGAGCAACUCAGAGAUAUGUCACUUGCAUCAUUGCCAAGCAUAGUAGGAAUCUGCUCAGGGGCUUUGAAGUUGAAAUUCCCAUCCCUGGAUGAAGUCACUUUAACGGAAUGCCCCCACAUGAAAUAUUCCUAUGUACCUAAUUUGCACGAGUUCAAGCCCCGUCAGCAACUUUAAAUGAAGACGUAAUACAUCACUCAUACUCACAAAUGGGACUAUGGAGUUCUUCCUCUAGGCAUUUGGUUAGCUGUGAUUUCCGCAUUACAAUAUGAGAGGCGGAGGGAACAAUGAUGAUAACUAUUGCGUACAAGUAUCAUCAACAAAACUUUAUUCUAAGUCUCUUUUCUUGUUGUUUUGGAGUGCUUCAAAUACUAAUAACGUGGACCUACACGCCCAUCUAUUGUAUGGGAUUAAGUUUGUUAUAUUUUGUAUGCAUGUUAGUCCUGAACUUAAAAUACUUUGAAGACUGAACUUCGUAACACUGUCA